rnacentral:rRNA from 1 species
UACGUAGGGGGCAAGCGUUAUCCGGAUUUACUGGGUGUAAAGGGAGCGUAGACGGCGAUGCAAGCCAGAUGUGAAAGCCCGGGGCUCAACCCCGGGACUGCAUUUGGAACUGUGUGGCUGGAGUGUCGGAGAGGCAGGCGGAAUUCCUGGUGUAGCGGUGAAAUGCGUAGAUAUCAGGAGGAACACCGGUGGCGAAGGCGGCUUACUGGACAGUGACUGACGUUGAGGCUCGAAAGCGUGGGGAGCGAACAGG